GCGAACGCUGGCGGCAGGCUUAACACAUGCAAGUCGAGCGGGCGUAGCAAUACGGCAGCGGCAGACGGGUGAGUAACACGUGGGAACGUACCUUUUGGUUCGGAACAACACAGGGAAACUUGUGCUAAUACCGGAUAAGCCCUUACGGGGAAAGAUUUAUCGCCAUAAGAUCGGCCCGCGUCUGAUUAGCUAGUUGGUGAGGUAACGGCUCACCAAGGCGACGAUCAGUAGCUGGUCUGAGAGGAUGAUCAGCAACAUUGGGACUGAGACACGGCCCAAACUCCUACGGGAGGCAGCAGUGGGGAAUAUUGGACAAUGGGCGAAAGCCUGAUCCAGCCAUGCCGCGUGAGUGAUGAAGGCCUUAGGGUUGUAAAGCUCUUUUGUGCGGGAAGAUAAUGACGGUACCGGAAGAAUAAGCCCCGGCUAACUUCGU
rnacentral:rRNA from 1 species